CGCCUGUUUAACAAAAACAUCGCCUCUUGCAAAACUGAUGAAUAAGAGGUCCCGCCUGCCCUGUGACUCUAAGUUCAACGGCCGCGGUAUUUUGACCGUGCGAAGGUAGCGUAAUCACUUGUCUCUUAAAUGGGGACCUGUAUGAAUGGCAUAACGAGGGCUUAACUGUCUCCUUUUUCAGGUCAAUGAAAUUGAUCUCCCCGUGCAGAAGCGGGGAUAGACACAUAAGACGAGAAGACCCUAUGGAGCUUUAGACACUAAAGCAGAUCAUGUUAAACACCCCAUAACAAAGGAAAUAAACCAAAUGAUCCCCUGCCCUAAUGUCUUCGGUUGGGGCGACCACGGAGAAACACAAAACCCCCGUGCAGAACGAAAGCACUGCUUUCACAACUAAGAGCUCCCGCUCUAAUAAACAGAAAUUCUGACUAUAUGAUCCGGCAACGCCGAUCAACGAACCAAGUUACCCUAGGGAUAACAGCGCAAUCCUCUUUUAGAGUCCAUAUCGACAAGAGGGUUUACGACCUCGAUGUUGGAUCAGGACAUCCUAAUGGUGCAGCCGCUAUUAAGGGUUCGUUUGUUCAACGAUUAAAGUCCUACGUGAUCUGAGUUCAAAACCGG
rnacentral:rRNA from 1 species